CAGUAGCCGCGGGAAUACAGAGGGUGCAAGCGUUAAUCGGAAUUACUGGGCGUAAAGCGCGCGUAGGUGGUUCGCCAAGUUGGAUGUGAAAUCCCCGGGCUCAACCUGGGAACUGCAUCCAAAACUGGCGAGCUAGAGUAUGGUAGAGGGUAGUGGAAUUUCCUGUGUAGCGGUGAAAUGCGUAGAUAUAGGAAGGAACACCAGUGGCGAAGGCGACUACCUGGACUGAUACUGACACUGAGGCGCGAAAGCGUGGGGAGCAAACAGGAUUAGAUACCCCUGUAGUCCCUGUCUCUUAUAC
rnacentral:rRNA from 1 species